rnacentral:ncRNA from 1 species
UACAUUGGCAAACCACUUGAAAGAGUGGGGCGCAAAGCCGUGAGUCUACGGGCGUGAAAACGCCUAUGACUGUCUGGUUGC